AUUGAACGCUGGCGGCAUGCCUUACACAUGCAAGUCGAACGGCAGCGGACCUUCGGGUGCCGGCGAGUGGCGAACGGGUGAGUAAUAUAUCGGAACGUACCUUUCAGUGGGGGAUAACGUAGCGAAAGUUACGCUAAUACCGCAUAUUCUGUGAGCAGGAAAGCAGGGGGAUCGCAAGACCUUGCGCUGAUUGAGCGGCCGAUAUCAGAUUAGCUAGUUGGUGAGGUAAAGGCUCACCAAGGCGACGAUCUGUAGCGGGUCUGAGAGGAUGAUCCGCCACACUGGAACUGAGACACGGUCCAGACUCCUACGGGAGGCAGCAGUGGGGAAUUUUGGACAAUGGGCGCAAGCCUGAUCCAGCCAUGCCGCGUGAGUGAAGAAGGCCUCGG
rnacentral:rRNA from 1 species